GCGCCCAUAGCUCAGCUGGUAGAGCAGCUCCCUUUUAAGGAGAUGGUCGCAGGUUCGAUUCCUGCUGGGCGCA
rnacentral:tRNA from 1 species